CGCCUCGCGCUCCCGAGGCCCAAAAUCUAGAUAUUUUGGAAGUCCCCCUCCACAACAAGUCAAACCCACCAUCUUCCUCACGCACACACAUACUACCUAACAAAAAUCCCCACCUAGCCGCCGCCACCGCUCAGCCGAUUCGAUCGCCGCUGCCAAUCCCACCCCCGGUGUUGAAUCCAGAAGCUCUCGUCGAUUCUGUUGUGCCUCCCCAACAACCGCAGCCUGAGGUGCCACGAGGCUACCCACUCACCUGGUGGGUGCCGCCGCCCGCUGGUUCGCUCGCGUCGCUUACUCUCCCAACUCCGGCCAUCCCUCCCGCAUCCAGCAUCCCAUGGUAUUGAUCUCCACCAUCGGCGACCCGCGCCUUGCCCUGCCUCUAGAUCCAGCCGCUGCAGGUCCCAUGAUGAUGAACUGUAACAGAUCUGGUUGAUUCGUCAAAGUUCGGAGAAUUUCAGAGGGUCGACUAAUUCGUGGCUUAUUUUGUAAUUAGAAAUAAAUUACGUAUUUAGUUAAUUUCUGGGAAGAUUCUGUAUAUAUUUGACCCACACCAAGAACUUGAACAUUGCGAUCCAUAAUCUACUGCACCUCGUAGAGCUCAUUACUAAACAUGGAAAGGUUCCUUUGGGUAUUGGUAUCCAAAUACAUUUUCCUGGUUUUCUGUAUGAACGUGUCUAGUUGAUGAAAGCAUAUGGCCUUGCAACACUUUCAGUUCAACUAUCAUUGACCCUCUCUCUAUCGCGCUGCACACACCCCAAUCUAGACCUAGGUCACAGGCUCACAGCUAAUGGCAGUUAUAUUCUUGAUUACUGCUUAUCUGAAUUCUCUAGGAAAAAAGAAUACAAUAAGCGAUUGUUUGGUUUUAACAUGGCUGGGUGUGGUUCUGUGGUAUGCAACUCAGUAGCUUUGAGGUCUGCCUUAAUGUUUUAGCAUGGCUAUCCUAAAUUAAUAGGAAUAAUAUUCAGAUUUCAAGUAUACAGUAUACACUCUGUGAGAAAACAACAUACUAAGUUUCCGCCAACCAAUAAGUGUAGAUGCAGCUGACAUUUAGGGUUGUAAACUGCCUGUGGCAGGUCCUACAAGCCUACCACAAGUUUAUUUUUGGUAUUCAACUCAUCAAUGACUUUUUUUCUUCUUUCUGAAAUUCUUUAUUUUUAAUUACUGUUGAAAUAAAUUUGUCAGCUGAGGAACUUGCCUAUGGCCCGCAGAGAGAAGACAUAUUUGUCAAAGAACAUACUUGUAAAAGUGUAGUUCCCCCUACAGCAAGCAGAGGCCCUAAUUGUAGGUUACAUGUACCAUGCAUCAUGUGUUUUCUAAAUAAUGAUGUGCAUGUGACUGAAUAUCAGUUGAUGACAAGUAUCGGUUGAACUGACUUCAUUGUAGAAAUAACUAGAGGUGCCUCACUUGGUCUGUUUUUGCAGAAACAAUUUGAUGAUUCGGCAAGUGGCAUUUCCUCAAGCAAGCCAAAAUGUGGGAACGCCCUUGCUUCAUAAUUCUGUUUCUCCACCUGUGGUACAAUGCUUAGUUAUCAGUUUUGUUAAAUCAUAUCCAGAACAUAUGUACACUAAUUCAAUUUUGUGUGGCCCUCCAAUUCUCGGAGAUUGUAGCACAAGAUGGCAAUGAGGAACUUCUAAUGUAUAUGACUUUUUGUUGAACCGGAAGGUAUUAUGCUUGUGAACUUUUCCUGUCAUAUGACACUUCUAAUUUCGAUAGUUAAUCUAAUGGUGUGUAAAACGUGCAUGGAAACAAAAUGUUCUCUUCACAGCUUCACUUCUAAGUGUGGUAUCAGAUAUUGAAUGGUAUUGUGUGAAUAAAGGGCAUUGUGUGCUUCCCUGCUAUGUGUGGUGUCAUGCUUUGUUCAGAAAAAAAUAUGUUUAGAAUGGGGAAAAGGGUCUUCAGUUUGAACCAGACACUUGUUUUUCUUUCAGGUAUCCUUUUAAUUUUCUUGUCAGGUUUCAUGCUUCAUAACUUAGCACACACACUACAGUUUGUAAUGUCAUUAUAAACAUUGGAUGCAUUGGACUGUCAUAAUACCUAGUUUCUAUCAAAACUGAUAAUAAUUAAGGCACAACAUGGUGAUAGAAAAUCUGGGUUAAGUAAGAACAUUCAAUCAUUGGUUUCUAUGUUUAUAUGUGUAGCAAAACCCUAAUUAUCAUGCAAAUAGUAUCAAGUCCCGAGCCUUAUCAUGGCAGCUAGCAGAAAAUGUAUGGUUUAGUUUGCAAGCACAUUCAUGUGAAUAUUAUUCCAGCAGGAAUGCCCAUCUUGUGCUCGGCUGCUUGCUUGAUUGAACGCUUGUGCUGCUACCUGCUUGACUGAACGCUUGUGUUGUUGCUUGCUACACAUGAAUGAUUACUGCUUGGCUGCUUAAUGUUGGGUAGCAUGGCAUCUGGAAGGAUCAAUCACAUGGGUCUGGAGGACCAGUCAAGCACUUGAAAAAUAAGACGGCAAAUGGGGCUGUAUUAUCUCUUUCUCAUUAUUUUUUUUGUCUUAACUCUAUAUCACAUAGCAUAUUUUCUAUUUUACUUUAUAUAUAUUCGCCUUAUCACUGAAUGGCUAUUUUUAGAAAAUUCUGUAUCCCAUGUCCGCAUGUGCACAUUGCCAUGUCUCCGUCCCUGUAUCCAUGCUUCUUUGCUUAUAUCUUGUGCAGUGAUGCUCUCUGUGC
rnacentral:rRNA from 1 species